UGGAGUGGAGAGGUUUGGAAAGCAGCCGCUCCCUAAAAUAAACAGCACCAAACGGGGCGGAAAGCACUCCCUGACUUUUCAGCCGAAUCUUCGGGUCCAAGAGGCCCCGGGUUCGAAUCCCGGCACUCCGACCA
rnacentral:tRNA from 1 species